rnacentral:rRNA from 1 species
AGACAACCAGGAUGUUGGCUUAGAAGCAGCCACUCAUUAAAAGAGUGCGUAAUAGCUCACUGGUCGAGUGAUUCUGCGCCGAAAAUUUAACGGGGCUAAACUAUACACCGAAGCUUAGGAUACCGCAAGGUAUGGUAGGAGAGCGUUCUGUACGGAGUGAAGUCGUAGCGAAAGCGGCGGUGGACUGUACAGAAGUGAGAAUGCCGGAAUAAGUAGCGAGAAUUAAGUGAGAAUCUUAAUGGCCGAAAGUCUAAGGUUUUUGGAGGAAGGUUCGUCCGCUCCAAGUAAGUCGGGAGCUAAGGUCAGGCCGAAAGGCGUAGCCGAUGCACAAACGGUUGAUAUUCCGUUACCGUCUACAAUUUAAACAAAGGGACACAUACAAAGCGUUUAACCCGGGCGAUGGUUGACCCGGGCGCAAGGGACUGAAAUUAGAGUAGGGAAGUAAAUGUGGCGUAUGGCGAGAAAAGCUUUGUGAAUAGAAGUAGACGCCCGUACCGCAAACCGACACAGGUGGACAGGAAGAGAAUUCUAAGGCCAGCGGGAGAAGGGUAGUUAAGGAACUCGGCAAAUUGACUCCGUAACUUCGGAAUAAGGAGUGCUCGAAAGAGCCGCAGAGAAUAGGCCCAGGCGACUGUUUAGCAAAAACACAGGUCUCUGCCAAAUCGAAAGAUGAAGUAUAGGGGCUGACACCUGCCCGGUGCCGGAAGGUUAAGAGGAGGAGUGCAAGCUCCGAAUUGAAGCCCCGGUAAACGGCGGCCGUAACUAUAACGGUCCUAAGGUAGCGAAAUUCCUUGUCGGGUAAGUUCCGACCCGCACGAAUGGUGUAACGAUCUGGGCACUGUCUCAACUACCCACCCGGCGAAAUUGUAGUACCGGUGAAGAUGCCGGUUACCUGCGGCAAGACGGAAAGACCCCAUGGAGCUUUACUGUAGCCUGAUAUUGGGUUUCGGAAAUCUAUGUACAGGAUAGGCGGGAGACUAGGAAGUAUGAGCGUCAGCUUAUACGGAGUCAUUGUUGGGAUACCGCCCUUAGGUUUCUGGAAUUCUAACCUGCGACCGUGAAUCCGGUCGGGGGACAUUGUCAGGUGGGCAGUUUGACUGGGGCGGUCGCCUCCGAAAAGGUAACGGAGGCGCUCAAAGGUUGGCUCAGCACGGACGGAAACCGUGCCUCAGAGUGUAAACGCAAAAGCCAGCCUAACUGCGAGGAUGACGGUCCGAGCAGUAACGAAAGUUGGAGUUAGUGAUCCGGCGGUAUGUGAAUGGAAAUGCCGUCGCUCAACGGAUAAAAGCUACCCUGGGGAUAACAGGCUGAUCUCCCCCAA